CCUACGGGAGACAGCAGUGGGGAAUAUUGCACAAUGGGGGAAACCCUGAUGCAGCGACGCCGCGUGAGUGAAGAAGUAUUUCGGUACGUAAAGCUCUAUCAGCAGGGAAGAAAAUGAUGGUACCUGACUAAGAAGCCCCGGCUAACUACGUGCCAGCAGCCGCGGUAAUACGUAGGGGGCAAGCGUUAUCCGGAUUUACUGGGUGUAAAGGGAGCGUAGACGGCAGCGCAAGUCUGGAGGGAAAUCCCAUGGCUUAACCAUGGAACUGCUUUGGAAACUGUGCAGCUAGAGUGCAGGAGAGGUAAGCGGAAUUCCUAGUGUAGCGGUGAAAUGCGUAGAUAUUAGGAGGAACACCAGUGGCGAAGGCGGCUUACUGGACUGUAACUGACGUUGAGGCUCGAAAGCGUGGGGAGCAAACAGGAUUAGAUACCCUAGUAGUC
rnacentral:rRNA from 1 species